rnacentral:lncRNA from 1 species
CAUUAAAUGCAAAGCUCAUUGAAAAGAGGAUGGUGGUUGUUCACUGUUGUACUACUAACCUUUGACUCAGUGUCCUGAGGUUGGCUCUAGAGUUGUGCACACAUGUUCAGACAUUGGAGCACAUCUUGUCUAGCACCUCUUUUGAGGUGACUUAGAGAAAAGUCAGUAGGUACUUCCCCAAGAAUGAAAGAUAAGCUUCACCUAAACCAGUUCUUCAAAUUCAGCCUGCAUUAGUAUCCUCUGAGAGCUUGUUAAAAAUACAGUCUCCUAGAGCCCACUCUUCAAGAGUCGGUGAGUUGCUUCAUCAUCAAAAUAUAUACAGAAUUCAGGCAGUUUUCAGCGCCAGCCUGGUCUGAGCCACUGUGGACUCCCACCUGCAGAAUCUCCCUGCUGGUCUCCUUGCUUCUGCUCUUACCUUCUUAUUGCCCAUUCAAGUAGCCAGGGUGAUCCUUUUUAAAAUUUUUUUAAAAUUUUUUUGAGAUGAAGUCUCACUCUGUUGCCCAGGCUGGAGUGUAGUGGUGCUAUCUCAGCUCGCUGCAGCUCUACCUCCUGGGCUCAAGCCAUCCUCCCACCUCAGCCACCUGGGUAACUGGGACCACAGACAUACACCACCACACCCGGCUAAUUUUUGUAUUUUUUGUAAAGACACGGUCUUGCUAUGUUGCCCAGGCUAGUCUUGAACUUCUGUGUGCACCCACCUCAGCCUCCUGCAUUUUUAGGAGGCCCCUCUUGUAGGGAUUUUGAUGCAGAGGCCUGGGUGCCUCAUGUCUCCUCCCAUCUCUCUCUGUCUUUCUGUCUCUGUCUCUCUCUCUCUUUCCCUUUGCCUUAUAGCUGCCCUGGGGACUAGACUCUGCCUUAGGCAUCCCUCUGACUCUUGUUUGCUUUUACACUGAGGCUGCUUUAAGUUGCACAUUGAUCUGAAGCCUUGGGCUUCUGUUCCUAUUCCUUGCUUUUGUUGGAAGGGCCGUGCAGCUUCUUGACAAAUUGCAAAGGUGCCCACGAGUUUCCAAGUCCCCAAGAACCAAACCAGAUGACAAACAAAGAUGCAGCCCACAGCUGGAGAGACAGAUUUCAUGUCCACACAGAGACUCCAAGAUGCUGAACUGAAAUCCACCCCAAAACCUGCUUUCUCUCUCAUUUAAGUUCAAUGUGAACUGGGGGCUUGCAGGGCAGGGCUGGUGACCAUUCACAGGGCAAAGAUGCUUUGAAAUGGCAACUGAGAAUGGUGUGGUUGUUGACAGAUGGCACAUCAGAGCAUAGAUUAACAUGGAAAGAGAAACUCACCCCUUGGGGGGAGUGUGUGAGGCUGGCAGCCACACAGAGGGCUUUUCCUGCGAGCUCUUGCAUAGAUGCAAACAGCCAGGAGGUUUUGCUUUCUGAGCCUGAGUGGAACCAUGUUCCUCCCUGCACGUUGCCGCUCUGCAGCAAAUGUUUAUUCCUGUUGCAUUGAUUAAAAGUGCUUACCAGGCCGGGUGCGGUGGCUCACGCCUGUAAUCCCAGCACUUUGGGAGGCUGAGGCAGGCAGAUCACAAGGUCAGGAGAUUGAGA